UACGGAGGAUGCGAGCGUUAUCCGGAUUUAUUGGGUUUAAAGGGAGCGUAGACGGGAUGUUAAGUCAGCUGUGAAAGUUUGGGGCUCAACCUUAAAAUUGCAGUUGAAACUGGCAUUCUUGAGUGCGGCAGAGGCAGGCGGAAUUCGUGGUGUAGCGGUGAAAUGCUUAGAUAUCACGAAAAACUCCGAUUGCGAAGGCAGCUUGCUGGAGCGUAACUGACGUUGAUGCUCGAAAGUGUGGGUAUCAAACAGG
rnacentral:rRNA from 1 species